ACUCCUACGGGAGGCAGCAGUGAGGAAUAUUGGACAAUGGGUGAGAGCCUGAUCCAGCCAUCCCGCGUGAAGGACGACGGCCCUAUGGGUUGUAAACUUCUUUUGUACAGGGAUAAACCUUUCCACGUGUGGGAAGCUGAAGGUACUGUACGAAUAAGCACCGGCUAACUCCGUGCCAGCAGCCGCGGUAAUACGGAGGGUGCGAGCGUUAAUCGGAAUUACUGGGCGUAAAGCGCAUGCAGGCGGCCUGUUAAGUCAGAUGUGAAAGCCCGGGGCUUAACCUCGGAAUUGCAUUUGAAACUGGCAGGCUAGAGUCUUGUAGAGGGGGGUAGAAUUUCAGGGUGUAGCGGUGAAAUGCGUAGAGAUCUGAAGGAAUACCAGUGGCGAAGGCGGCCCCCUGGAGCAAAGACUAGACGCUCAGAUGCGAAGCGU
rnacentral:rRNA from 1 species